rnacentral:rRNA from 1 species
CCAAUAGCGUAUAUUAAAGUUGUUGCAGUUAAAAAGCUCGUAGUUGAAUUUCAGGCCUGGCUGGACGGUCCGCCUUUUGGGUGAGUACUGUCUGUGGUCGGGUCCUACCUUCUGGCGAAGCGUCAUGGCCUUAACCGGCCGUGGCGGGGAACCAGGACUUUUACUGUGAAAAAAUUAGAGUGUUCAAAGCAGGCAGUCGCUUGAAUACAUUAGCAUGGAAUAAUGGAAUAGGACAAUGGUUCUAUUUGUUGGUUUCUAGGACCGUUGUAAUUAUUAAUAGGGAUAGGUGGGGGCAUUAGUAUUCAAUUGUCAGAGGUGAAAUUCUUGGAUUUAUUGAAGACUAACUACUGCGAAAGCAUUUGCCAAGGAUGUUUUCAUUAAUCAAGAACGAAAGUUAGGGGAUCGAAGACGAUCAGAUACCGUCGUAGUCUUAACCAUAAACUAUGCCGACUAGGAAUCGGGCGAUGUUGACAAAAUGACGCGCUCGGCACCUCAUG